rnacentral:rRNA from 1 species
UGGGGAAUAUUGGGCAAUGGGCGAAAGCCUGACCCAGCAACGCCGCGUGAAGGAAGAAGGUCUUCGGAUUGUAAACUUCUUUUAUGAGGGACGAAGGACGUGACGGUACCUCAUGAAUAAGCCACGGCUAACUACGUGCCAGCAGCCGCGGUAAUACGUAGGUGGCAAGCGUUAUCCGGAUUUACUGGGUGUAAAGGGCGCGUAGGCGGGGAUGCAAGUCAGAUGUGAAAUCUAUGGGCUCAACCCAUAAACUGCAUUUGAAACUGUAUCUCUUGAGUGCUGGAGAGGUAGAUGGAAUUCCUUGUGUAGCGGUGAAAUGCGUAGAUAUAAGGAAGAACACCAGUGGCGAAGGCGAUCUACUGGACAGUAACUGACGCUGAGGCGCGAGAGCGUGGGGCAGCAAACAGGAUUAGAUACCC